CAGUCGCCGCGGUAAUACGUAGGGCGCAAGCGUUAUCCGGAAUUAUUGGGCGUAAAGAGCUCGUAGGCGGUUUGUCGCGUCUGCCGUGAAAGUCCGGGGCUCAACCCCGGAUCUGCGGUGGGUACGGGCAGACUAGAGUGAUGUAGGGGAGACUGGAAUUCCUGGUGUAGCGGUGAAAUGCGCAGAUAUCAGGAGGAACACCGAUGGCGAAGGCAGGUCUCUGGGCAUUAACUGACGCUGAGGAGCGAAAGCAUGGGGAGCGAACAGGAUUAGAGACCCGAGUAGUCCCUGUCUCUUAUAC
rnacentral:rRNA from 1 species